CAGGACUCGCAAGACUCCUACAACCCUGUGAACCUACUAUACGAACGUUGCUUCGGCGGGCUGACGCGCCGGCAGCCUACAAAUUCUGUUUCUUUGCGUUGGCAUCUCGAGAAAAAACAAAUAAGUUA
rnacentral:misc_RNA from 1 species